GAUGAACGCUGGCGGUAUGCUUAACACAUGCAAGUCGAACGGACUCUUCGGAGUUAGUGGCGGACGGGUGAGUAACGCGUGAGAAUCUGGCUUUGGGUUCGGGACAACCACUGGAAACGGUGGCUAAUACCGGAUGUGCCGAGAGGUAAAAGAGAAAUUGCCUGAAGAUGAGCUCGCGUCUGAUUAGCUAGUUGGUGAGGUAAAGGCUCACCAAGGCGGCGAUCAGUAGCUGGUCUGAGAGGAUGACCAGCCACACUGGGACUGAGACACGGCCCAGACUCCUACGGGAGGCAGCAGUGGGGAAUUUUCCGCAAUGGGCGAAAGCCUGACGGAGCAAUACCGCGUGAGGGAAGAAGGCUCUUGGGUUGUAAACCUCUUUUCUUAGGGAAGAACAAAAUGACGGUACCUAAGGAAUCAGCAUCGGCUAACUCCGUG
rnacentral:rRNA from 1 species